rnacentral:rRNA from 1 species
UUUUUCGGAGAGUUUGAUCCUGGCUCAGGACGAACGCUGGCGGCGUGCCUAAUACAUGCAAGUCGAGCGAACAGAAGGGAGCUUGCUCCCGGAUGUUAGCGGCGGACGGGUGAGUAACACGUGGGUAACCUGCCUGUAAGACUGGGAUAACUCCGGGAAACCGGAGCUAAUACCGGAUAGUUCCUUGAACCGCAUGGUUCAAGGAUGAAAGACGGUUUCGGCU